UGGGGAAUUUUGGACAAUGGGCGAAAGCCUGAUCCAGCAAUGCCGCGUGUGUGAAGAAGGCCUUCGGGUUGUAGAGCACUUUUGUCCGGAAAGAAAUCCUUGGCUCUAAUACAGUCGGGGGAUGACGGUACCGGAAGAAUAAGCACCGGCUAACUACGUGCCAGCAGCCGCGGUAAUACGUAGGGUGCAAGCGUUAAUCGGAAUUACUGGGCGUAAAGCGUGCGCAGGCGGUUUGCUAAGACCGAUGUGAAAUCCCCGGGCUCAACCUGGGAACUGCAUUGGUGACUGGCAGGCUAGAGUAUGGCAGAGGGGGGUAGAAUUCCACGUGUAGCAGUGAAAUGCGUAGAGAUGUGGAGGAAUACCGAUGGCGAAGGCAGCCCCCUGGGCCAAUACUGACGCUCAUGCACGAAAGCGUGGGGAGCAAACAGGAUUAGAUACCCUGGUAGUCCACGCCCUAAAACGAUGUCAACUAGUUGUUGGGGAUUCAUUUCCUUAGUAACGUAGCUAACGCGUGAAGUUGACCGCCUGGGGAGUACGGUCGCAAGAUUAAAACUUAAAUGAAUUGACGGGGUCAUAGCUGUUUCCU
rnacentral:rRNA from 1 species